rnacentral:rRNA from 1 species
GACGAAGGGGGCUAGCGUUGUUCGGAAUUACUGGGCGUAAAGCGAGUGUAGGCGGUUUAUCUAGUCAGGCGUGAAAGCCUUGAGCUCAACUCAAGAAAUGCGCUUGAUACUGGUAGACUCGAGUGCUGGAGAGGAUAGUGGAAUUCCCAGUGUAGUGGUGAAAUACGUAGAGAUUGGGAAGAACACCAGUGGCGAAGGCGGCUAUCUGGACGGUUACUGACGCUAAGACUCGAAAGCGUGGGGAGCAAACAGG